CUUUCUGUGUUGGAGUCUGGCUGGAGAAUCCAAUGAGCUGCUUGUCAGGGAGGCCCAAACCAUGUGUGAGCCGGACCAGGUAGAGGAGCCUCAAAGGGUGUUUGAGGCUGUCGACAGCGUAGCAUCCCAGAUGGUGGGUCUGGUGACUGGGCCUUUCAUCUGCUCAUCCCAUUGCCUGUUGUGUUUGUCUGCAUUUUCUUUUAACAUCGCAUGCCUCGAUUUUAUAUUGUUUGUGUGGAGAAACUAAGUCGGUGAGCGCCCUGUGCCAGAGCCUGUCCCCGUUCUCACCCCGGUGCGGCCUAGUCAUCGGUAGCACUCAAUUUGUUUGUAGAGGCGCAUUUUGUAAUUCCUACAGCUGAUGGAAAUUGGUUUCAUUGUUUUGUAUUCUUACUAUAUUUUAACUAAAUGUUAAUCUGGGGGAACCCUUUUGCCUCAGUCUGACUUCAGUCACCUGUUGAUCUGUGGUUGUUGGAUAAUUUAUGAGGAAAUGUUUAACCCUGUCCUACCGGUGGUUACAAAUGUCUUCCAGUUGCUCAACUUCUCAUGAUAUGAUCUACAAACUAUGCAUCAGCUAAAACUAAUGCAGUCUAAUACAACAGCCCUACAACUUUCUCCCUCAUUCUCUUGUAUCGGAAGUCGACAGCCCAAAUAGAAUUCGGCCAAUGGUACCCCUAGACGGGAUUUACUCACAUGUUGAACUUUACUAAUUGCUUGUGAUCUCUUCUCAGACUGCUAUGGCUGAUUCCACACACAGAAUCAAGAUUAACAUUGGCUAAAACUUCCAAAUGGCUUGCCAAAGUCACUAGAUAUCUUCACUGCAAGAUGAAGACAACCUUUAGGUUAAAGGGCAACCUGUCACUUCAAUACAUGGACCAAGAGUUUGGCAAUUACUUUUUAAUCUCAACUCUACCACUGAAUUUCAGGGACAAGUAGGAGGCCAAAGGGGUUAGUUGACGUGUAAAAUGUUUGCCCUACCUCUGUGGAUUGCCCGUGAGAAAUUGCGUAACCCGGUUUUAUAAAUUGUGGCAGAUAAUUUUUUUAAAUAUUGUCAUUUACUCAUUAUGCGUUGUGCAAGAAACCUGGUGGAGACCGUGGAGCCAUGAGUGCAAACAAAAGAGUCUUGUAAGACACAACUGCAAUUGCUGAUUAUGGGCGGUCGACCUCAACUGACAGAACCGUCCAGGUCAAAGGAGGCUCAUGGAUCUUGGCGGGAAGAUGGGCGAAGCCUGGGUUCUUAAAGGACGGUCCAGAGAAGACAACAGGCUCCUGCCUUGGAUGCCCAGAAGUGGUCAAGCAGUUUCAGCCUCCUGUGACGGUGGAAAUUACCAGCAGCCUUUAGUGAUUUGAGUGAACGGACGGUCCAGAGAAGAAUUCCGCCUCAGGCUGGCCAAGUGACUUCAGCCUCCUGUGAAAAUUGCCAACUGAAUGAGAGGACGAUUCAGAGAACACAACAGGCUCCUGCUUCAGGGUCAAGCAGCUUUAGCCUCCUGUGGAAAUUGCCUUGUGCUCCUGCCAACUUGGCGAUUUGAGUAACAGG
ensembl:lncRNA